rnacentral:tRNA from 1 species
AGCCAACAUAGUUUAAACAAAACACUAAGUUGUGGGCUUAGUAAUAAGGAGCUA